AACGAACGCUGGCGGCAUGCCUAACACAUGCAAGUCGAACGAGACCUUCGGGUCUAGUGGCGCACGGGUGCGUAACGCGUGGGAACCUGCCCUUAGGUUCGGAAUAACUCCCCGAAAGGGGUGCUAAUACCGGCUAAUGUCUUCGGACCAAAGAUUUAUCGCCUUUGGAUGGGCCCGCGUUGGAUUAGCUAGUUGGUAGGGUAAAAGCCUACCAAGGCGACGAUCCAUAGCUGGUCUGAGAGGAUGAUCAGCCACACUGGGACUGAGACACGGCCCAGACUCCUACGGGAGGCAGCAGUGGGGAAUAUAGGACAAUGGGCGAAAGCCUGAUCCAGCAAUGCCGCGUGAGUGAUGAAGGCCUUAGGGUUGUAAAGCUCUUUUACCCGGGAUGAUAAUGACAGUACCGGGAGAAUAAGCUCCGGCUAACUCCGUG
rnacentral:rRNA from 1 species